GUUUCCCAAGUCCCCCCCUUUACCAGUGUUUCCCAAGUCCCCCCUUUACCAGUGUUUCCCAAGUCCUCCCCUUUACCAGUGUUUCCCAGAUCCUCCCCUUUACCAGUGUUUCCCAGACCCCAAGUCCCCCCCUUUACCAGUGUUUCCCAGACCCCAAGUCCCCCCCUUUACCAGUGUUUCCCAGACCCCAAGUCCCC